AAGCCGUCUUCCCCAAGCGAAAUCGUUUGACUGCCGCAACUGAACGAUCGAUCGUCGCUCCGGCCUUCAUAUCUUCGCCCCCCGCUGCAUCUUCAGGCCUCCUCGUCUCAGCAAGAUGGCGGCGCCGCCACUCUCGCCUUCUUCCUCUUCUGCCUCCAGUGUCAACCUCUUCCGAGACAAGGCCUUCCGGCGGUCUUCCUCUCUUCCUCCUCUCCGCACUUCUCGGGUACCCAAAGCUUCCGCCUCCUGCGCUUCUGCGACGGAGCGCGAGCGAGAGAGGGCCGAUGGUCAUAGGUACUAUCACUAUUUCCCCGGAAGCAGUGAGGGCGGUAGAGUGGGUGUCGGACGCGGCGGAGCGAUGGUGGCGGAGACGCUGUACGAUGUUCUGGAGGUGGCGGUGGGGGCAACCGGGCAGGAGAUCAAGGCGGCGUACAGGAGGUUGGCGCGCGCCUGCCACCCGGACGUCGUGAGGGCGGACAGAAGGGGCGGCGGAUCCGCCGCUGAGUUCAUGCGGAUCCACGCCGCCUACGCCACGCUCUCUGAUCCCGAGAAGCGAGCCGAGUACGAUCGCCGAAUCGUGACGACCUCGGCGAUGCGCCGGCGGCCCCCUUUCGGCUGGGAAUCUUCAUCGUCCGCAUCCUUCUAUUCUCCGGCAUCCCCUCGCUCGUCUUCCCCCUCGUCUGGCUACAGGCGGCCGAGGACAUGGGAGACCGAUCAGUGUUGGUAG
rnacentral:lncRNA from 1 species